UAACUAGUAAGCACUAAAUAUAGUCUCGAUAUUUUUAGUCUUUUUUUUUUUUGUCAUCUGAAAUUUAAUUAAUAAAACUUGUUGUGGAAACAAGGAGAGAUACAUAUGCCCAAACAAGGGAAACUAAAGCUGGCGGACAAAAGAAAAGUCCCCAGAAACUAAAGCCGGCGGAAUACAUGAUUUCCCCGGAAACUAAGCCCUGUGAAAGGGAAGUUAAAAACAACAGAAUUACCAAACAGAAAAUUCGAAUCGAAAGAGGACGAUGCUAUAAACUAAGAACAGAGGAAAAAGGCUAAAAUCCUAAGGGAAGCGAUAAACCAAAGAAUUUCUCGAUAUUUUUAGUCUACAAAUCAUAAUUUCUUUUACGAUUCAAAAUU
rnacentral:sRNA from 1 species